rnacentral:misc_RNA from 1 species
GUAAAUCUCUAUCAAGUGGAGGCUGCUUAAAGGCUGCUUAAAGCAAUUUGAUGGUCUUAACCUAGAAUGAUACAUGUGAAUGAGUACUGAGUAGAGAAAGAGUAGCAUUUGGGAUUUUCAUAAUGAUGAGUGGAAAAACUACAACUCAAUAAGCUUCUACAUAGUUCAUAGCGAACAGGGAAUCUAAAAAAAUGAUGCAGCAGACCUAGGAAGAUAACUACAUGGACACAAUAGCAUACAACACAAAAAUAAGCAUGCAUACAUACAAGCCUCAUAAAUGCAUAACAGAUUUAUCCCACAAAGACAGCAUAGCACCAUUGUGUGAAUUGAAA